GUAUAUGGUCAUGCCACUCUGAAUGCACCUGAUCUUAGCAGCUAAGCAGGUUCAGGCGAGGAGGUUAGAACAUGGUUUGUAAAAUUCCUGGAAAUACUGGUUGCUAUAGGCU
rnacentral:rRNA from 1 species